GGUCUCGUAGCUCAGGGGGAGAGCGUCCGCCUCACACGCGGAAGGUCGCUGGUUCGAUCCCAGCCGGGACCAC
rnacentral:tRNA from 5 species